rnacentral:rRNA from 1 species
GACGUAGGGGGCGAGCGUUGUCCGGAUUUAUUGGGCGUAAAGAGCUCGUAGGCGGCUCAGCAAGUUAGGUGUGAAACCUCCAGGCUUAACCUGGAGACGCCACUUGAUACUGCUGUGGCUGGAGUCCGGUAGGGGAGCAGGGAAUAUCCGGUGUAGCGGUGAAAUGCUUAGAUAUCGUAAGGAAGACCAGUGGCGAAGGCGAAUCUCUGGACAGUUACUGACACUGAGGCACGAAGGCCAGGGGAGCAAACGGG